GCAUCUCAUCACUCAUACCUACCUACAUACAUACAAAAUUUAAAAUAAAAAAAGAGAAAAACAAUUUGAAUCAAGCUAAGACGCGUGAAACGAGCUACAUGGUUAUGACUUAUGAAUGCAACUAACAUUCAUCCAUGGGCAAUCAACAUCAUCCUCCCACAUCCAUCUUCAGUCACCGUUUUUCCUCCCCUUCACACUUUCUUCAUUUCCACUCACACACUCACCAAAACUCCCUCCAAAGACCACACGAGUCUCACCACCUCAACCCCUCUACCUCACUUAUAAAUGCCCUUUUCUACUCAAUCACUCGACUCGACACACAAAAAAUCUCUCUACCAAAUCCCUACAGAAAUAACUCCAAAGCCUCCUGCAAUAUCUCUGAACUCGAGCUCAAUUCUUCCCUGAAAACAACCUUGCCACUAUCAUCCGAAUAAGGAGAAGAGAGAGACGAAGGAAGAAAGAGAAAAGUGAGACAUACCUAAAAGUUGGGAGGCUCCGCCGGAGCUCUCACCGGAAAAUCUAAUUUCAGGCGAGGAGUUUUCCUUUGUUUUUCAUUGUUCAUUUAUCUUCCGCUUUACAUAUUCGAUGUUGUUUUACUUUUGAAUGUUUUAAACUUGAUGUAAUCGUGCAAAUUAAUGAAAAUUUAGGGUUCAUUUAGGGAUAAGGGUUGAUCUCUCUAUGUGUGUGCGGUUUCGUUAAAUUAAGGCCAUAUUUAUACUGAGGGGGAAGAAACAAGUGAGGUUUGAUGUUAAUGAUUUUUGUAUUAGGCUAGGUUUUGGGCUUUUCUAGAAAUGAGAGGGAUGAACAUUCAACGUGUUCAUCCUCAGUUCCUCAUUUUGAAACCAUUUGACCCAUUUUUUAGAAAAGUAAAAACUUGGUUCGGGUUUUAUGAGUGAGAGAGAGA
rnacentral:lncRNA from 1 species